CCUGCAGUUAGUGAAGAAACAAAUCUGUAAAUUAUUUCAGUCAUUCACUCUCUGCCGAAAGUUCCAAGAGCUUUGGCACGUUGAUUCACUAGCUCAACCACAAUAGCCAACUACACAUUUUAAGUAGUUGUAAAGUGAGAGUAGGGAACUUAGCUUCUGAGAGGGAGGAGGACUGAACGGCUCCGAGGAGGAGGCGAGGCGACACCCUUCGCCGGAAAUCGCACAGCAGCAGCCAACCUGAACCAUGGUCGAGCAGGGGCUCGAGCGCACCAGCAGCGGACGCACGGCAACGGCGUUCUGCCCUUUUUGAAACCUAAGGCUCGACGUCGGAGAGGGAUAUCAAGAUGGGAGUUGGACGGCGCCGCUCCCAGACGCCGACUGAGUCGCUGGAUUCCAGACGGGCGUGACAGCAGCGGCGAUGAUUCCCAGAGUGGGACUCGACUGAGAUCUGCGUGAGGAAGAAAGAAGGAGGAGCCGAUCGAUAUUGAAGAAGGGCCGGCGGCGGCGCUCCUCCAGCGAGCCACUAACCACCGGACGAGCUGCAGCAGCUCCAGGCCACGACUCCGGCGAAACAGCAGCGGCAGUUGGCGGCGACUUCGGACGAGCUAACGACGACGGCGUUCCUCCAGCAGGCGUUUUGACCGCCGAUCUCAGACAGCAGCGGCAACAGCAACAUCUGUCGCCGGCGGUUGCGCUGGAUCCUUCGCCGGUCUCAGGCGGCAGCGGCAGAUGGCGUGAGAGAAUGAUGUGCGUCUGUGUGUGUGCGUUUCUUUGAAGAGAGAGAGAUCUGAAAUUGUGAGGAGAGAGAGACCGAUAGUGAGAGAGAUAGAGAUGGGCUUUGAUUUUGUUUUGUUUUGUUUUGUAUGGGCUUUCUUUUAAUUGAUUUUGGGCCAAGUGAUGGGCCGAUUUUUAAUAAGUGAUGGGCCGAUUUUUAAAUGGAAUUUGGGCUGAUUUUAUUUAUUUAA